UACGUAGGGUGCAAGCGUUAUCCGGAAUUAUUGGGCGUAAAGAGCUCGUAGGCGGUUUGUCGCGUCUGCUGUGAAAACUGGAGGCUCAACCUCCAGCCUGCAGUGGGUACGGGCAGACUAGAGUGCGGUAGGGGAGAUUGGAAUUCCUGGUGUAGCGGUGGAAUGCGCAGAUAUCAGGAGGAACACCGAUGGCGAAGGCAGAUCUCUGGGCCAGUACUGACACUGAGGAGCGAAAGCGUGGGUAGCAAACAGG
rnacentral:rRNA from 1 species